rnacentral:rRNA from 1 species
UACGAAGGGGGGCUAGCGUUGCUCGGAAUCACUGGGCGUAAAGGGUGCGUAGGCGGGUCUUUUAAGUCAGGGGUGAAAUCCUGGAGCCCAACUCCAGAACUGCCUUUGAUACUGAGGAUCUUGAGUUCGGGAGAGGUGAGUGGAACUGCGAGUGUAGAGGUGAAAUUCGUAGAUAUUCGCAAGAACACCAGUGGCGAAGGCGGCUCACUGGCCCGAUACUGACGCUGAGGCACGAAAGCGUGGGGAGCAAACAGGG